rnacentral:lncRNA from 1 species
UACGACAAAACAUAAACUGAGAGUUUUAAUAAGAAUAUUGUCAUCUAGACAAUAUCCACACUCAAUGGAGUCCUCGUUAUAUUUAUUGUCACAUUAUUUUAUAGAAUAGUGAGGACUACAAAAACAACCAUCUGGACCGUCAAUCCGUUCCCCGACUCGUCCCAACUAUAUUCUCAUUUCUUAAAGAGAACAGUGAAAGAAAGGGUGAGCUCAACUAGCCCAGUAAGAAAUAUUAUGACUAAGAUAAUGCAGAAUAAAUUAUCCUUAGCCUUCAACAGUAUAACAACUGAUAGAAUACAAUAGACAACAAGUUUUAGAUCAACAACUGCAGUAGAAAUAAGCAAUCCAUUAGAAGAGUAAAGUAGAGCAUAAAAUCUACUAUCUUCUAUGAUUUAAAAAGUUUUUCAUCAACUUUAUCGCUGAGACUCAACUUAAUAAAUAAAAUCGAAUCAUCCCUGCACCAAUGCCAAGGAUAUUCAUGUAAUCAUCAAUGGUCAUGAUUAUACCGAAUAAUCUCUAGUCAUAAUCAUACCAACAACUGUCCAUCAAUGAACUACAGGCCAAUGAGGACUUUUACCACAUCAUUCAUUUCAUUACGGUCAUGAUUAUACCGAAUAAUCCCCGGUCAUAAUCAUACCAAGUCCAUCUAAGCACGUAAACCAAAGAUGACUUUAAUCACAAUAUAAGCAUGAGGAUGAUGACAAUGACAUAAUAAUUCAAUAAAACAAGUUCAAGGAUAAAUUUUAAAGAUUUAUAAUUUAAUUUAUCCAGAAAU